rnacentral:lncRNA from 1 species
CCGGGAAAAAACAUUUGCGGGGUGUGACGUAAUAUGGAGGACCCGAUGCCUGCAGUCCUGUUCUGUUAGCAUACAAUGAGUCUCUCAGCCACAUAACGGGAGGGGGAAGUCAAGCUGGGAGGACAUGGACAGUGAGAGUCAAAGGAUGCAGAAAGGGAGGAGAAGGCGGUGUUCUUCGGCAGGAAGUGCAGCAUCAGAGAGUGGUACGCCUCUAGCCCUGAUGUCUGGUAGUCAGUGGAUAGUUGAGAGAUGUCCUUCAGGAUCAAGGCCCCAUGUAGAAUAUUCUCCAACCCCACUGAGGAGUCACAUGACCAGUAGAGGUGGUUGAUAAUGGAGUUCUGCCACAGCCCAACAUCAUCGCGUGGAUUUUCUUGCCUGCAGCUAAUCCCAGUAGAAAACAGCAGUGAAUGUCCCAAACAUUGCAGAGUGCCUGGGACUAUCACUCCUUCAAUCUGCUGCCAAGACCAGAUCUCCACCCAUUUCCUGGAGGGUUUUGAUGGUGCCACUCUGCUUGACAUCCCAUGUCUUGAGGACUGCUGACUCAAGGUGACGGAAGAAUGUGCUGCGGUGAAUGGUGGCCACUCCCAUCUUGUCGAGCUUUCAGAGGACUUUGGUCGGCAUACACCCUCAAAUCAAAUCAAACUUUAUUUGCCACAUGCGCCGAAUACAACAACUGUAGACUUUACCGUGAAAUGCUUACUUACAAGCCCUUAACCAACAGUGCAGUUCAAGAAGAAGAAAAUAUUUACCAAGUAGGCUAAAAUAAAAAGUAACACAAUUAGAAUAACAAAACG